AAGAAGGAAGGAGGGAAGGAAAGAAGGAAGGAAAGAAGGAAGAAGGAAGGAGGGAAGGAAAGAAGGAAGGAAGGAAGAAAAUAAAUUACCAAGGCAGGAUGAGGCAACACAAGGGAAGGAAAAACACCCAAAAGCAGGGACAAGAAUCAGAGACCAACUAUCAUCACAUUCAGGAGUGCCGUAUAGGCUGAAAGUUAUCAGUGCAGGACUUUGGCGGACCUGUGCUUGCCACAUCUAUCUCUGAAAAUUCUUACUGAAGGAGGGAAACAACUCAAAACACCUCCAGGUAGUCCUUACGCUGAUCAUGAUAACUGUGCUCCUCCGCCAGAGUUAAGAAGAACUGCAAAAAUUACUCAGAAAAGCCAAGCUUCAAGGAAGACUCUGACACCAGCUCAGCUGCCAUGGAGAAGCAGAAAUGGCCACAAUUGCUUCCAGGAGGUUUAUACUAGAAUCACUGGGCAAAGACAGUCUCCAGUCUCUUAAGCAACCAGCAGACUGUGUAGCUUUCUCCGGGUCUCCCAGCUUUUGCAAGCUGUCACACUCAUGCUGAAAUAAGAAAUGGAAAUGUAGCUUUUUUUUUGAGUCAUUUCUGCUCCUAUAUAUAAAACCCCUUACCCAUACUCCUCAGAAAGUAUCACUGUUUCAACAAA